UGGGGAAUCUUCCGCAAUGGGCGAAAGCCUGACGGAGCAACGCCGCGUGAGUGAUGACGGCCUUCGGGUUGUAAAACUCUGUGAUCCGGGACGAAAAGGCAGAGUGCGAAGAACAAACUGCAUUGACGGUACCGGAAAAGCAAGCCGCGGCUAACUACGUGCCAGCAGCCGCGGUAAUACGUAGGUGGCAAGCGUUGUCCGGAAUUAUUGGGCGUAAAGCGCGCGCAGGCGGCUUCCCAAGUCCCUCUUAAAAGUGCGGGGCUUAACCCCGUGAUGGGAAGGAAACUGGGAAGCUGGAGUAUCGGAGAGGAAAGUGGAAUUCCUAGUGUAGCGGUGAAAUGCGUAGAGAUUAGGAAGAACACCGGUGGCGAAGGCGACUUUCUGGACGAAAACUGACGCUGAGGCGCGAAAGCGUGGGGAGCAAACAGGAUUAGAUACCCUGGUAGUCCACGCCGUAAACGAUGGAUACUAGGUGUAGGAGGUAUCGACCCCUCCUGUGCCGGAGUUAACGCAAUAAGUAUCCCGCCUGGGAAGUACGAUCGCAAGAUUA
rnacentral:rRNA from 1 species